ensembl:lncRNA
GGCUGUAGUGGAGGGCGCGGAAGGUGUAGUGGUGGAAGAAGUGGGAGGAGAGGACAAAACCCUCCCCACCCCAAUCCCCCUGCCCCAGACUAAUGUGACCCCUGAAGGAGAAAGGGCCGAGAAAGACGGCUCCGGAGAGAUGUUCAGCGAAAGCUCCCCAAGUGGGUCAGAUAUUAUAGGGUCGGUGUCGGAAAGCACCAUGGAGACUGUGUCAGAAGGUACGGGAGAGGAGGGGGAGAUUCUGAAGGAACACCUCCCCCUACGUAAAAGAAACGCUGAAGAGCUCUCUGACCCCGAACAGGGUGAGGAGAAAAAGGGAAAGGUGGAGUGGGAGAGCUCUCAGGGGGAGGAAGAACCCAGAACCUUCCCCUCCAACUCCCCCAAUCAAGUUUCCUUUUUAAGCCCUAUUUUAACCUCCUCUCCCUUCCAAACUCCCUUACCCCGGAGGGAGAGAGAGAAAGUCCCGGAGAACUAACCCCCUUUUAACUGUUCAAUGCUUCUUCUUUUAGCACUGUUUUUACUCACCCCUUUUAUGGCUUUUAAAAUCACCACUAUAAAUGUGAGGAGUGUAAGAACAGCAACAAGAGCACAGUCGGUUUUAUCCUUUUUAGAAAGGUUUAACUCUGAUGUGUUUUUACUACAAGAGUGUGGUCUACCCUUUUUAUCCUCUUACAGGAAAUGGGAGGAUAAGUGGCAGCACGGGCCCUCCAUUUGGAGUGGUUCCAAUUUUAACAAGAACGACGGUGUUGCCAUUUUAAUCAAGACCCCACAGGUGGUGGUGAAGGGGAGCACGGUGGUGGAUCGGGAACCAGUAUGUCCAGUGCGCGGGCUCGCUAUAGGUGAGCCCACAACGGUUUGGCGCAACGUGGCCCACCCUGCUCUCCUGAAUCGGCAUCGGGACCUGUCCUGGAUGGUCGCCCACGAGAUCCUCCCGGUCAGGGCCGUUAUGCACUCACGGGGCAUGGCGAGGACAUCCGCGUGCCCCCGACCAGGCUGCGGCCAAGAAGAGUCGGUGAGGCACAUGCUCUGGGAGUGCAGAGCCGCCAGGGACCUGUGGAAGGAAGCAGGCCCCCUGAUCACCUCGUGUCUGCCAGCAGGGGAGGACCUAACACCUCAGCUCGUGCUGUAUGGGGUGGGCCGAAGGCCCAUUUCAUCGAAGACCUUCACCAAGCUCUGGCCCACCCUCACGUGCCUGAAGGAAGCACUGUGGUCCUCCCGUAACCUGCUGGUAGCGAAAAACGUAGAGAC